rnacentral:rRNA from 1 species
AUUGAACGCUGGCGGCAUGCUUUACACAUGCAAGUCGAACGGUAACAGGUUAAGCUGACGAGUGGCGAACGGGUGAGUAAUGCAUCGGAACGUGCCCGAUCGUGGGGGAUAACGCGGCGAAAGCUGCGCUAAUACCGCAUACGAUCUGAGGAUGAAAGCGGGGGACCGUAAGGCCUCGCGCGACCGGAGCGGCCGAUGUCAGAUUAGGUAGUUGGUGGGGUAAAGGCCCACCAAGCCGACGAUCUGUAGCUGGUCUGAGAGGACGACCAGCCACACUGGGACUGAGACACGGCCCAGACUCCUACGGGAGGCAGCAGUGGGGAAUUUUGGACAAUGGGCGAAAGCCUGAUCCAGCAAUGCCGCGUGCAGGAAGAAGGCCUUCGGGUUGUAAACUGCUUUUGUACGGAGCGAAAAGGUCCUUUCUAAUACAAGGAGCUCAUGACGGUACUGUAAGAAUAAGCACCGGCUAACUACGUGCCAGCAGCCGCAGUAA